GCAGUGGAGGAGGAGGAUGAGGUAGCCAACACUGUUUUUAUAUAUAUAUAUAUAUAUAUAUAUAUUUUAAUUGGGGUAGCCCCCAAAAUAUUGGCACAGAUAAAAAAAGACAACUCUUUUCUGCAGAAUAGCUGUUGACAUUAUAGUUGUGCAGGAACUUUGUUGACUCUAGAGAACCUCGGGCAAAUCGCACAUCCCCGUGGCGGCGACUUUGCAUGCGGAUGUCAUCCAUAUCAACUUUCGAUGCCAGUUUCUGCGCCUAUCAUGGUGACCACGGGUAACGGGUAAUCAUGGUUCCAUUCCAUACAGGGACCCUGAGAAAUGUCUACCACAUGCAAGGAAGGCAGC